GACUAUGCUAUUUUUUUGCCUUCAGACUUAGUUUAAGGAGGAUUCAGGAUAUCGACUUGCACUGCAUGUCUGAAAGUGUGUGUGUGCGUGUGUGUUUGUGUGUGUGCACGUGUAGUGAGUGCAUGAGUUGGAUUGGAUGAGUGUGUAUUUUGCAUCAUGAGCCUCAAAAACAGGAGAUUCUCACUGGACAGUUCUGUGUCUCCAGAUGGAGUUGGGCCCCUUGGUGGAAAAACAGGCAGCGACAGGUUUAGUAGUAAGAAAUCUAGAAAGAGUUUGGACGAUGCCCGACUGGAGAGUCAUCAGCUAAGUCACAGCCUCAACUCCAACAUUUCCCUCAGGGAGCAGUCCAUAGCAGAGGAGACCCUUCAGCGAUCAAAUGGGCUCAUCAAAAAUAAUAGCUUCCUGAAGCACAACAAAACUUUCCACAAGCUGUUUCAAGAGAUUCCUGAGGGGGAGAACCUGAUACACUCAUUCACCUGUGCCUUGCAGAAAGAGGUGCUGUAUCAUGGGAAACUCUUUGUUUCUGAGAACCAUGUGUGUUUCCACUCAUCCGUGCUGCUCAAAGAUACCAAGGUGGUGAUUCCUGUGUCCAGCGUCAGGGACGUGAAGAAAUACAACUCAGCUUUGUCCAUGUUGUCCAUUCAAACUGUUGGAGAGAAGUACUCAUUUGUGUCUUUGAGGCACCGUGAGAUGUGUUACAAACUCCUCCAAACUGUCUCUUUACAUGAACAGGUGGAGAGCAGCACUCAUCCCUCCUCUGAGAAUGAAGCUGAUCAUGACUUGGGCUCCAGUUAUUCGAGUUUGGAGGACUGCGCAGAUCAUGAUCUGAGCAGACAGCAGAACAUUUUUCUUGAUAACGGCUUUCCUCAGAUGUCCAGUGAAGGUCCUACAAGAAGCAAUUCCACCCGUCAAAACAGCUUAAUAGAUGAAGAGAACAGAGGUGUGUGUGUAACAGCUCACAAACAGAUGUGCCCAUAUGCUGAAUCAUGGCUUCGGAGAAUCACUGAGAAUGUUGCGCCGCUCUACUUCCUCAGAGAAAUAAGGAAUCUCAGCGUUCUCUUCUACAUCUACAUGAUGCUGAUGACAUUGCUCCUCUUGGUGGCUGUCUACAUCGGGCUGAGGAUCACAGCACUGGAGGAGCAGCUGAACUCUUUGGGAGCCCUGACUGAGUUGUCUUUGCACAACGGAGAGUGAGUUGAUGCAUAAAGAAAAAAGGCAGCCUGUCAGGAGAAAGACACAAGAGGAAGUCUGAUGGGAAAAAAAGUACCAAGAAACAUAGCCAGUGGCAAGGGACUGUGACAAACAAAUCCUGCAAUGCACCACUCUAUUAAGAUCCUGCUGUACAUUGAUCCCUGUCUAGACAGGCUCCCAAAAGCAUCUUAGCAGUGAGACUCAGCCCAUCUAACAUGCUAUUGGCCUACGUCUUUCAGUGAAAGUUUUUUUUGUAAAAACAAAUGUACAAUAUUUUGCACAAACAUGUUCACAGUAAAAAUUAACCUUCCGUGUUAGCGCCACGUCUACAGAUGAUGCAAGUCAGCAAUAAGAUGCUUUUGGGAUGUCUGAACCAGGCCACCAUGUGGUGAACUACAUGGAUGACUGAGUGUGUUGGCAGAGAAGCACCCCGACAAUAUUUCUGUUAGGAGUGCACUCAUUCUCUGCUGAUAGGAAAAAAUUCAUGCGAGGAUCUCCUGCAUUGAGCCAUAUGGAGGCAGCCUGUUGAAGCCAGGUUUAUUUCCUGGCAGGUGAACAGCUGAGCUCAGCUAGCGGAGGUUGCAGGAGUCUUGGCCAUCUUGGAUCAACACAUCCUGCCACAAUUGACAACACACCGGAGUCACUAUUAACAAGAAUAUGAAAAAAUGUGAAUGACAAUAAUCAGCCAGCAGAGGGCAGUCACCCCCAUUAAACUUCACUGUUACGAGAGAGAAAGGCAGGAGUUCACUUCUUCAAAAUGCAAAUUGUACAACACUUUUGCUAGUGCCCUUUUGUCACACCUGUUAACAGAGAAUUUUUGACAUCCAGUGUUCAUACACUUGUUGGCGAUAUGAUUUUCAUCACUUUAAACCAUUUUUAUGACAAAACAUUGUGAAUUUUGUGUAAAUA